CGAAGCGGGUUUUCAGUUAGCAAUACAAUUUUUGGCUGUGCGUGUGUGUGUUGCUCUCAGUGUGUAGGUGUGUGUGUGUGUUUGUAACGGUUGUGAAAGUCCCUCCGCCCGACCCGUCCAUACAAUGGCAAUUAAACUAAAAGCCUCAUUGGCCACAUGCAAAAAUUGGUAACUAAACGUAAAACCGCUUAAAAGUUAUAAACUGA